rnacentral:rRNA from 1 species
AUUGAACGCUGGCGGCAGGCUUAACACAUGCAAGUCGAGCGAGCGGCGGACGGGUGAGUAAUGUCUGGGAAACUGCCUGAUGGAGGGGGAUAACUACUGGCAACGGUAGCUAAUACCGCAUACCAUCAGAUGUGCCCAGCUGGGAUUAGCUAGUAGGUGGGGUAAUGGCUCACCUGGGCGACGAUCCCUAGCUGGUCUGAGAGGAUGACCAGCCACACUGGAACUGAGAGACGGUCCAGACUCCUACGGGAGGCAGCAGUGGGGAAUAUUGCACAAUGGGCGCAAGCCUGAUGCAGCCAUGCCGCGUGUGUGAAGAAGGCCUGCGGGUUGUAAAGUACUUUCAGCGAGGAGGCGUUACCCGCAGAAGAAGCACCGGCUAACUCCGUGCCAGCCGCCGCGGUAAUUC